rnacentral:rRNA from 1 species
AACGAACGCUGGCGGCAGGCCUAACACAUGCAAGUCGAGCGAGGACUUCGGUUCUAGCGGCGGACGGGUGAGUAACGCGUGGGAAUGUGCCCUUCUCUACGGAAUAGCCCUGGGAAACUGGGAGUAAUACCGUAUACGCCCUUUUGGGGAAAGAUUUAUCGGAGAAGGAUCAGCCCGCGUUGGAUUAGGUAGUUGUGGGGUAAUGGCCUACCAAGCCGACGAUCCAUAGCUGGUUUGAGAGGAUGAUCAGCCACACUGGGACUGAGACACGGCCCAGACUCCUACGGGAGGCAGCAGUGGGGAAUCUUAGACAAUGGGGGCAACCCUGAUCUAGCCAUGCCGCGUGAGUGAUGAAGGCCUUAGGGUUGUAAAGCUCUUUCAGCUGGGAAGAUAAUGACGGUACCAGCAGAAGAAGCCCCGGCUAACUCCGUG